rfam:Paenisporosarcina sp. HGH0030 genomic scaffold acAqH-supercont1.1, whole genome shotgun sequence.
UGGUGAGGUAGAGGCGCGAUAUUUAACAGUCCUUAGAGGAGUUUGAGAAAGCUUUGAUACUAGGGAGAAGGAAAUGUCGCCGAAGUGAGUAAUAUUUCUCGGUAUUACUUGCUGGGUCUGUAGUUAAGAACUGCAGGACUGUCUCAAUAAACGUCCCGGUUUAUUGAGGUGUGCUAUCUCAUUU